rnacentral:rRNA from 1 species
GAUGAACGCUGGCUGCAGGCCUAACACAUGCAAGUCGAGCGACCGGCGCACGGGUGAGUCACACGUAUCCAACCUGCCCUUUACUCGGGGAUAGCCUUUCGAAAGAAAGAUUAAUACCCGAUGUAAAGGAUGGGGAUGCGUUCCAUUAGGUUGUGGGUGAGGUAACGGCCAACCAAGCGUGCGAUGGAUAGGGGUUCUGAGAGGAAGGUCCCCCAGAUUGGAACUGGGACACGGUCCAAACUGCUACGGGAGGCAGCAGUGAGGAAGAAUUGUAAAUGGGCGUGAGCCUGAACCAGCCAAGUAGCGUGAAGGAUGAAGGCUUAUGGAUCGUAAACUUCUUGUAUAUAAGAAUAGGUAUUAUAUGAAUAAGGAUCGGCUAACUCCGUGCCAGCAGCCGCGGUAAUUC